AUGCUCGCUUUGGGAGCACAUAUUCUAAGAUUGGAACGACACAGAGAAGAUUAGCAUGGCCCCUGCAUAAGGAUGACAUGCAAAUUUGUGAAGUGUUUCAUAUAUAU